AUCAAAAAGUUAUGUUUCCAAUCCCUUUCUGUAUUUGUUUGACCCCAUGUUUGCUCAAAACCCGAGCUGAAUUUAUGCAUGGUUUUGGAAUGAGAACCCAUGUUAUUACAACCAUAAUACAUAUUAUAUUUAUUAAAUAAUUGUUUAUCCCUGUUAUGCUACUUUAUGCAUACCUGAAUGUCUCAAGUUUACCCCAGUAUAAAAUAAAUACCUAUAUCAAUUGGUCAAACAUAGUUUAUCGAAAUUUGAAUGAUGAUACAAUGCUUUAUGAAUGCGCAACCCUGAUUACCACGCAUUUUAAACUUCCUUGGAUGGCUGAACAUGUUUAAAUACAUGCUGUAAUUUGUCACUGAAUUAAAGAGGUAUUUUAACCAGUUCUUUUUUUCAUAGGUUCCUGAUCCCAGCAGCCCCAAUGCCCAGCAGUCACUCAAAAACUAUCUAGGUAUUCAUCAAUCUGAACGCAACUUCUGUGAUAUCCAAGUUUUCGCAUUUUAAUGUUGUUUUUUUUUUUAUAAAUAAAUCAUGAAAAUAA
rnacentral:lncRNA from 1 species